UCGUCAGACGUCCCGGCGGCCAGCGCUGCUCAUUGAGCCUACCGGAGUAGCAUUGAUCUAUGUAAGAAACCUAGGGGCCCAGGCUGUUGGGGCAACCAAAUGAUAUUACAUAUACAGAAUGUCUGGUUAGGAGAAACAAAUAUAAUGCACCCACAGGGAGUGGCGCCAUUUUAAUAAAAAUUGUCAAAAACCUUAGAUAACAGUCAUACAGAAUAUAUUAGAAAGCUUUUUUGAUUUUCAGCCAAUCAGAGAGCAGCACUACUGAAAUAGAACUCCCAGGAGGUAACAGCGUGUCACACAUGUGAUGUCAUAACCAUUGUCCACCAAAGAGCAGCACUGAGCAGAAAUAACACUGCUCCUGUUCAUUCUUCAUCAGAAAGGGGCCGGUGCUGGACACUGUGUAGGGACGAGGGAAUGCAAAGUCAUACACAUGACUGUGACUGAUGCACUAUUUCCAGGACAUGGAGUAGCAUUUCCGGACCUACAGCAAGACGUUGGAUGAAGGCACAGGCCUAGGAAUCAUGCACAUACACAGAAACAUUUGCCCAAAUUAUAGAGGUAACCUCCUUUAGUAUGCCCAGAGGAAGGGCAAUACAGUAGCCAUGGAUUCCCUACAGGUUUCCUCCCCUCUGGAGGUUUUUCCUGUCCUGAGUAUUAGUUACUGUACGCUCUUUGUGAGUGAUGGGAGGUUACAAAAUAUCCCCUACACAAACAUUUUAAUAAAUUAUAAAUAAAGUUCCCCUUUUUUUAAACUGUU